UGGGGAAUUUUGGACAAUGGGCGCAAGCCUGAUCCAGCAAUGCCGCGUGCAGGAUGAAGGCCUUCGGGUUGUAAACUGCUUUUGUACGGAGCGAAAAGGUCUGCCCUAAUACGGUGGGCUCAUGACGGUACCGUAAGAAUAAGCACCGGCUAACUCUGUGCCAGCAGCCGCGGUAAUACAGAGGGUGCAAGCGUUAAUCGGAAUUACUGGGCGUAAAGCGCGCGUAGGUGGUUAGUUAAGUUGGAUGCGAAAUCCCCGGGCUCAACCUGGGACCUGCAUUUGUGACUGUAUAGCUAGAGUACGGUAGAGGGGGGUGGAAUUCCGCGUGUAGCAGUGAAAUGCGUAGAUAUGCGGAGGAACACCGAUGGCGAAGGCAAUCCCCUGGACCUGUACUGACGCUCAUGCACGAAAGCGUGGGGAGCAAACA
rnacentral:rRNA from 1 species